GGAGAGAUGGCUCAGUGGUUAAGAGCACUGGCUGCUCUUCCAGAGGUCCUGAGUUCAAUUCCCAGCACCACCU
rnacentral:tRNA from 1 species